GUACUGCUGACGAAUCCCACCAUAGGAUGAAACGGCCGUCCAGUGC
rfam:Schistosoma curassoni strain Dakar, Senegal genome assembly, scaffold: SCTD_scaffold0003544